GACGUAGGGCGCGAGCGUUGUCCGGAUUUAUUGGGCGUAAAGAGCUCGUAGGCGGUUUGUCGCGUCUGCCGUGAAAGUCCGGGGCUCAACUCCGGAUCUGCGGUGGGUACGGGCAGACUAGAGUGAUGUAGGGGAGACUGGAAUUCCUGGUGUAGCGGUGAAAUGCGCAGAUAUCAGGAGGAACACCUGUGGCGAAAAGCGGCUCACUGGACCACAACUGACGCUGAGGCGCGAAAGCUAGGGGGAGCAAACAGG
rnacentral:rRNA from 1 species